GUUAUGUGUCCCUUGGAAAAAUCUGUCUCACGUCUUUUUCCAGAUGUUUGCAAGGCACGUGGGGAGGAAUGCAAGCAGAACUCCAGCACCUGGAUAGGAUGGUGUCCUGAAUUUCCAGCCGCCAGUGGUUGCAACAGAGCUUGUCAAAAAGGACUGAGCAAAACCUAUUUUCAAGAAGAAAGGCUGCCAGCUUGUAGACUGGCAAAUACACUAGCCCUCAAAACUGAGCUGACAGUUAUACUUUUUAAUAAUUACACUUCUAGAAAAAGCUUUCUGCUAAUCUUAAUACCCAGUAACCAUUCAGAGACUUGUAAUCUCAUAAGCAAAUCAAAGAGUGAAAUGCGCCCUCACCAACUUGGCAGCUUAGAAUUUGAUGCUUGUUGUCUGUGUUCAAAGUGGCCUCUCUGCACGCCUGCUGCAGCUGUGCCUCCUGCACUGAACUCAUCUCUUGUCAGAGCUCCUGUUUGACCAGUUCUCGUGGUAGCUUCAUGGAUAGGCCUUGACAAAACAGCCUGCCAUUAACUUAUAAAUCAAAACAUCCUCUUCUUUUUUGUUUGGUGGAAAUGAGACGCAUUGGGAUGAAUAUAGGUGUGGGAAAAUGAUGUCAGAGAUGAUAAUCAGCCUUUGUUAUAAUGACAGUACUGGCACAUCUGGUUGCAUGUUGCAUGAGAAUCUGAAACAAUAUGGUAAUGUUAGUGUGUGGGAAGUAAGCUUAGAGAUUUCAGAUUGUUCAUUGCUGAAAAUGCUGUCUGAGAGGAGAACAUGACUACAUUUCAUGUUUACUUAGAAAAUCUCUUUUCCCUUGGGUUGUGUCCAUAAUUCAGCCCAUUAAUAAACAGGAACUUCCCAUGAAUCUAUUUUAUUUGGAAGCAGAACAGGUGUGAGGAUUUAGUCACCCAUUUAAAUUGUAUCAUCCAGUGUGCAAGCUGGAACAUAUAGUUACACAAAUACUUGCUGACAUUUCACAUAAAUAAGGUGAUCAAAGGCAAGACAAGUUCUCUCGGACUCUGAAAUUAGGCAAACCAUGUUUCCAGAAGACAUCCUGUUCUGCCAGCAGCCAUCUCCUAAGAGAUUUUACCACGCACGAGGUACAAUUCUCUAGGAAAAUGACUUGGAAGCCAAGGUCCCAGGAGCAGCAUGUUCAAUUAAGAUCAACCAGUUUAUUUCAAGCUCUGGCAUACUGCUAUUUCCUGCAUAUCAGAGGAACGGUUCUGCAGGAGGAAGUGCUGCAGGAGAUCACUUCACAACAGGGCAUCUGGAGGGGGCUGGGAGCUCUGGCCAGGUGGGAGGAUGGGGAGGCACCUGCUUUGUUGGGCUGAGGAGCUCUCAUACCAGCUCGGGAGGCAGCUGAUAGGGGAACUGUGACUUCUGUGCCUGGAGGAAGGCUGGGUGCAGCUCUGGUAGCUGGGGACAGAUACUCCAGACACCAGCACUAGAAUGUGGGAGCAUUGUCUUUGACUCCAUACUUGCUUCUCUAGGGCAGGAAAGGCUGCAUCCUGCCAUCUUUCUUUGUUUGAAUUCAAAUAACUCGUGUACAAGAGAGCUUGAGUGAGAAUCAGCUGGAAGGAAGGGACCCAGGACUUUGUAUUUUUUUACAGCCACGUGUCUUCCUUCUACACUAGCCAUUCUCAUUAUUUCAUUCUAUUCAUUUCUCUCAGAAGCUUUUGUUUUUGUUUGGUAAAAUCACGUUCUUCAAAGUGACUCCUAACUUUUCCUAACGUUGUAUUCAUUAUUUUCUUAUCAAUGCAAUUGGUAGGUUCUCCCAUGAUUUGACAGCAACGUUAAUAGAAAUUACGGUCCCCUUUUACAAGAAAUAGACCCUUUGUGACUGUUUCCUACCCCCUUCUGUGGUUUUUCAGAAAAAUUCUGUUUCUGAAGUCUUCAGGAAUGGUAUUAAAUACUACUGUUG
ensembl:lncRNA